AUUGAACGCUGGCGGCAGGCCUAACACAUGCAAGUCGAACGAGUGGCGGACGGGUGAGUAAUGUCUGGGAAACUGCCCGAUGGAGGGGGAUAACUCCUGGAAACGGUAGCUAAUACCGCAUACCAUCGGAUGUGCCCAGAUGGGAUUGGCUAGUGGGGGGGGUAACGGCUCACCGAGGCGACGCUCCCUAGCUGGUCUGAGAGGAUGACCAGCCAAACGGGAACUGAGGCACGGUCAAGACUCCUACGGGAGGCAGGAGUGGGGAAUAGUGCACAAUGGGCGCAAGCCUGAUGCAGCCAUGCCGCGUGUAUGAAGGAGGGCUUCGGGUUGUAAAGUACUUUCAGCGAUUAGGCGUUACUCGCAGAAGAAGCACCGGCUAACUCCGUGCCAGCCGCCGCGGUAAUUC
rnacentral:rRNA from 1 species